CCUACGGGGGGCAGCAGUGGGGAAUAUUGGACAAUGGGCGAAAGCCUGAUCCAGCCAUGCCGCGUGUGUGAAGAAGGCCUUCGGGUUGUAAAGCACUUUCAGUGGGGAAGAAAGCCUUGGGGCUAAUACCCUCGAGGAAGGACAUCACCCACAGAAGAAGCACCGGCUAACUCCGUGCCAGCAGCCGCGGUAAUACGGAGGGUGCGAGCGUUAAUCGGAAUUACUGGGCGUAAAGCGCGCGUAGGCGGUCUGAUAAGCCGGUUGUGAAAGCCCCGGGCUCAACCUGGGAACGGCAUCCGGGAGUGUCGGGGUAGAGUGCAUGGGAGGAAGGUAGAAUUCCCGGUGUAGCGGGGCAAUGCGUAGAGAUCGGGAGGGAUGCCGGUGGAGAAGGCGGCUUUCUGGACUGACACUGACGCUGAGGUGCGACAGCGUGGGUAGCGAACAGGAUUAGAUACCCGAGUAGUC
rnacentral:rRNA from 1 species